CUGAAAGUUAAUGGUAAAUCUUUGUAGUGCAGCAUAAUGCCUGUUGCAACAAUCUGCUGUGUCAGUGCUGCGUGCAUACUGAAGUGACUGAACCCAAUGCUCGGGCGUUGACUUAGGUUCCAGGCCCGAUAGAAAAGACCUUCCAGGCCUUCAAACCUCGCUGCCCAGCAAACCUCUGAUUUAAUCCGAAUCACAGGACGAUUUACAAUGACCAAUUAAUCUACCAAUUGGUACUAACAGCAAAAAAAAACCACAAGAAAUCCUGGACGAACUCAGCAAAUCUGGUAACAUCUAUGCAGAGGAAUAAACAGUCGACGUUUUGGGCUGAGACCCUUCAUCAGACUGUGGAUGACCACGGCGUGUUCGUGCCCUUCACUCUCUAUGGAGUGUUACAGUACCGCCUUCUUAGUCGGUGGAUUUCACUGCAGGUCUCAUCCUCCCGGUCCGCUGGAGCUGGCUUCACAUGCUGGGACAGACCGGGGUAUGAGGCUGCCGGCUACCCCCACUGUGGUUUAGCAUGCUUGUUGGAGCUGUGUACCCAGGUGGCUGCUGUUCCAAGCAAACAGCUACAUGGAGCCACAGAUCAUGUAUUGCAUUGAACUGCUGCUGCUAAGUUAUCAAAUUUCACGUCACAUGCCGGUGAUAAUAAAUCUAAUUCUGAUUUAUCUGUUUAUGUAUAAUUUUUGUAAAUACUAUGGUAUUUCUUUUUUCCCCCUGUAAUUUGUCAUAAGAAAAUGAAUCUGAAGGCAGUAAAUGGUAACACAUAUGUACUUUGAUAAUAAAUUUACUUUGUACUCAUAUUUUAUCAUUAGAAAUAAGCAGCACUUUGAGCAAAAGAUGUAGAAUGGGGUCUCCUGAAGAGCUGUCAUAAGUAUGGGUACAGAGUAUUGGAAGGGAAUGCACGUUAUGUUGGAAUGAUUUAUGAUGAUUUAUUUAUUGAGGCUCUCCGCUGGUCGAGGUUGACCAUGGAUGUUGCGUCUUAGUGGUCUACAUGAUAUGUAAAUAAUACGAUAUGGAGAGCAGGCUAUAGCCCAAGCAGCAAGCUCCCUCUCUCCACACAGCUGCUGAAUCUAAAAGAACGGCAGAGACCGAUACAGUUUGGCACCAGCGGCGUUGCAGGAGUUGCCAGUCAGCAUUUAGCUCACUGCCUUAGGGACUCCAGAUCCAGAUUUUUCCCUCGGGGUUUACUCUUGAAGCUUUCCCCGUGAGUGGGUAUGGCUGCAAGGCAGCGGAGGUUUGAAAUCAGAGUUUUCCUUUUCCUAGAUGGGCUGCCAACCACUGCUGAUGAACUGCAUCUGUCUGAAGUGACUGCCAGUAACCAAGCCUGCUCCCUUUCUCCUGUCAGAAAAACAGUUCCACUGGGCUUAGUAGCUAGACUUAGUUGUCAGAGGCUAUUUGAGACAUAAGCCAUUGAGAACAUUUAAUGGGUAGUGGGAGCUUAUACCCACUACCAAUCCUGGCUAUGACAAAUCUUAAGGAACCAAGCUUAUUGAUUGGUACAUGCAUUAAGGAGAA